GACGAACGCUGGCGGCGUGCUUAACACAUGCAAGUCGAACGAAAGACGGAAAGAGCUUGCUCUUUUCAGAAUUGAGUGGCAAACGGGUGAGUAACACGUAAACAACCUGCCUUCAGGAUGGGGACAACAGACGGAAACGACUGCUAAUACCGAAUAAGUUCCAAGGGCCGCAUGGCCCAUGGAAGAAAAGGUGGCCUCUACCUGUAAGCUAUCGCCUGAAGAGGGGUUUGCGUCUGAUUAGCUGGUUGGAGGGGUAACGGCCCACCAAGGCGACGAUCAGUAGCCGGUCUGAGAGGAUGAACGGCCACACUGGAACUGAGACACGGUCCAGACUCCUACGGGAGGCAGCAGUGGGGAAUCUUCCGCAAUGGGCGAAAGCCUGACGGAGCAACGCCGCGUGAGUGAUGACGGCCUUCGGGUUGUAAAACUCUGUGAUCCGGGACGAAAAGGCAGAGUGCGAAGAACAAACUGCAUUGACGGUACCGGAAAAGCAAGCC
rnacentral:rRNA from 1 species